UCCUGCCAGGGGUCAAUUUACCAUGAGUCUACAAUUAGCUGAGGCUUACUGGAAACCAGAAUACACGAGUAGGAAAACAUUUCAGAAAAAGUCUUGAAAAUUCAACCGAUGUAGGUUUUAUAAGGUCCUGAAGUAAACCAAACGUGCUCCGAUGAUGCCAAUUAUUUUUUAUGUUUCAUUUAUUGUGUAAUCUUAAAGCAUAUCACCCAUUAUGUUGUCUAUAUGCAUGCCAAUAACUAAACAACAAGCAUAAAACCAUGGUAUCCUCAAAACCACAUUGAGCAUCCCAUAUGAAGCAAAACAAAAUCACAUGAAAGAAGGAAUGAAUGCAAUUUGCACAAUAGUCUAGACUUGUAAUUCGAAUCUGCCAAAUUUCAUAUUUGCCUAUGUUCUAUGUAGUCCUUAAAACAAAAAUCAAAAUCAAUUAAAGCUGCAAGCAGCCUUUUACGGUGCCAAGCCUAAAUCCGACCAAUAAAACCCUGUCAAACCAUUAAGAUGCAUGAAAACCUAAGUUAGGCCUCAAUCUAAUAUUUCCUCUCUGUUAAUCUUGAGUCAGCCUCUACAGCUGUAGUAAGUUUCAUAAAAAGCGUGCGGCGGUUAAGGCUGUGCAAGUCAAACAUGGCAGAAUAAUAGAGAGUUAACAACACAUUAAAAUAUAAAACAAAUAAAUGUUAAAGCCUAAUGAAGCAUAAUAUGAACCCACUAUUGCAUUGAGCCGGUAAGGGCUUAGUAUAAAUUUAAAGUUCCUCAUAUUCAUGAGAUUUAUCAAAAGGAAGGGAAAGAGAUUUCAAAGCGCAGAUAUCUGAAAGUAUUCCCUUUAGACAAAGCGAGCCCCCCAACUUUUGCAUGUCUGGCCGUCCAGAUUUCCAGGUUAGUUAUUGACCGUCAAAUCAAUGGUGAUGGUUGGCUCCGUAGGCUUGAACUGACUGUAAAAAAACACAGGGAGACAGAAGUGAUCCAACGUUAUUAAUGAAUCAGUCUCCGACCAUCCACUAGCACUAGACUACAUUUUGGUUCAGUUCAACAGUGACCCCUAAACACACACCUACUUCUAGAGAAAGUCUCAAUGAACCCUUGAAGAACUUUUUCCAUUUAGCGUCGCCUUAUCGCCAAUGUUUGUUUCCAUUUCCCUCCAAUCUUUCCAUGAGACUCGUCCUUUAUCCCUCUCUUGAAAAAAACUUAAACAGAAACUAUUCCACUACCUAAUACUAGAAAUGGACCAAUACAA
ensembl:lncRNA